UACGUAGGUGGCGAGCGUUGUCCGGAAUAACUGGGCGUAAAGGGAGCGUAGGUGGCGAGGUAAGUUAGAUGUGAAAGCCCCGGGCUCAACCUGGGAAUUGCAUUUGAGACUGCGUAGCUAGGGUGCGGAAGAGGGAAGCGGAAUUUCCGGUGUAGCGGUGAAAUGCGUAGAUAUCGGAAGGAACACCAGUGGCGAAAGCGGCUUCCUGGUCCAGCACCGACGUUCAGGCACGAAAGCGUGGGGAGCGAACAGG
rnacentral:rRNA from 1 species